UGAAAACAAAGCAACUUCAUAGAAAUGGCUCACUCUGGACAUCACCAGGCAACACUCUCAUCAAAUACAUAGGACCACUGUGCUGCAUUUUGGGGUUAAUUGCUGAGGCCAAGCUCCCUUCUUUCUCCCCCAAUCUAGGAGAUGCUUUUCAUGCCCAUCCUGGGGACCAAGUUCACAGUUAUGAGAGCAUCCUCAGGUCUCCCUGCUUCAAUUAUUGCACCACCGUUAUAAUAAAGUCGAGAGUCUAACAGAUGUAAUUCAAAGAGUUGAGUUACCAGGUUUUUCUGAAAUCUUGUAAAAUGUCUGUUCAUCCUUGACUGGGCGGGGGCCAUUCUCUCUGAAGAAAGAAGGAUCCCGUGACCCAUGAAGCAGACUACCUCCUGGAAAGCACAGUGCCAUAAUAUGAGGGCCCAAAAGCUCGGUGAGUGGUAAAACUGGAAGGAAGCCCUUCAAAUGGUUUUAAUAUCCUAAUGUUUGGGAUCAAAGAUAAACCUUGUCA
rnacentral:lncRNA from 1 species